rnacentral:lncRNA from 1 species
ACGCUGGGACAUCUCGCCGGGACGUCAUCUGUCCCCUGGGAAGGGAUUUGGGGUCAGGGACCGGGUGGGGGGGAGUGGAGGCUCACCCGGAUGCUGGCACCAGGCUCCCCGGGGUCACCCUGUGGAGACAGCACCCGCGUCGGUCCCACCACCCCAACAGCCCUGCCACCAUGUCCCCAUGUCCCCUGAGCCCCCCAGCGGCUGGCUCCAGCAGGGGACCAGCCCCUCAUUUUUCCCCACAGCCCCUGGUGCCUGCAGGGCACCGCGCGUUCCUCUGCGGGGUCAAAUAUGGUGAUGGUGAUGAUGGUGAUGGUGAUGGUGAUGAUGAUGAUGAUGAUGAUGUACCUUCAUCCCAGCUGGGCCCUGGGUCCCCGGGGGGCCAGCGGUGCCCUGCAGGGAACAAGGGAACAUUUCGUCCUCGUGGUGCCCGCUGGUGGCACGGCUCCUCAGGACGAGGAGGGGGUGGCAGGACAGCACGAUCCCAGCAUGGGGACAACGGGGACACUGGGGGGGACCCUUACCGGAGGUCCUGGUGGUCCCGGCUCUCCCUGGUUGCCCUGGGGGGGGAGGAAGAGAUGUGGGCAGCGGGUCCCCGCUGCACGGUGGCUCUGGGCACCCGCGCCAAGCAGGGACAAGCACCGCCAGAUCCCACCAGGAUGCGCCGUGCCAAGCGCCCAUGGGGCAAGAACCAGGGGGACAGGGACAUGCAGGGGGACACGGGGACACGCAGGGGGACACGGGGACCUACCGGGCGUCCCAGCACGCCGGGGAAGCCUGGCAAGCCCUGCAAAGAAGCACGUUAGAGCCAGGGGGGAAGCAGGAACCCAGCACCCCCAAGCAGCCCCGCUUGCCCCAAAAGCUCCCCAGGGGAUGAGCACGGUGCCACCGCGCAGUACCCGGCUGUGGGGUACUUACUGGGGGGCCGGGGGGCCCUCUAAAGCCCUGGGGGCCCUGUGGGGGAGGGAAGGAGGCAAACAAGAUGUGAAUGCUCCCGUUGGGGCUGGUGGCAGCUGCUGUGGGGCCACGGGAACUUCCCACCCCUCCCGGAACGCAGCCCCCCUGCAUCCCCCACUCACCGGUUUCCCCUCGGGGCCGGCCAGACCCCUCUCUCCUGGGAGGCCCUGGAAGAAGAGGUGGAGGCAGUGGGGUGGAGAUGGGGCCGUGGGGAUGGGGAUGAGGAUGGAUGGAGACCAUGGGGAUGGGGAGGAUGGGGAUGAUGGAGACCAUGGAAAUGGAGAACAUGAGUAUGAGGAUGGGGAUGGAGACCAUGGGGAUGAUGAGGAUGAUGGAAACGGAGGUGGAGACCAUGGGGAUGAGGAGAACGGGGAUGAUGGAGAUGGGGUUGGAGACCAUGGGGAUGAGGAUGAGGAUGGGGAUGAUGGAGACGGGGAUGGAGACCAUGGGGGUGAGGAGGAUGUUGGAAACGGAGGUGGAGACCAUGGGGAUGAGGAGAAUGGGGAUGAUGGAGACGGGGUUGG